rnacentral:rRNA from 1 species
GACAGCAGCCGCCGCGGGAAUACAGAGGGUGCGAGCGUUAAUCGGAUUUACUGGGCGUAAAGCGUGCGUAGGCGGCUUCUUAAGUCGGAUGUGAAAUCCCUGAGCUUAACUUAGGAAUUGCAUUCGAUACUGGGAAGCUAGAGUAUGGGAGAGGAUGGUAGAAUUCCAGGUGUAGCGGUGAAAUGCGUAGAGAUCUGGAGGAAUACCGAUGGCGAAGGCAGCCAUCUGGCCUAAUACUGACGCUGAGGUACGAAAGCAUGGGGAGCAAACAGGAUUAGAUACCCCAGUAGUCCCUGUCUCUUAUAA